rnacentral:rRNA from 1 species
UACGUAGGGGGCAAGCGUUGUCCGGAAUCAUUGGGCGUAAAGAGCGUGUCGGCGGCCAGAAAAGUCCGCUGUGAAAACUCGAGGCUCAACUUCGAGCUGUCGGUGGAAACUUUCUGGCUAGAGUCCGGAAGAGGAGAAUGGAAUUCCUGGUGUAGCGGUGAAAUGCGCAGAUAUCAGGAGGAACACCGAUAGCGAAGGCAGCUCGCUGGGACGGUACUGACGCUAAGGCGCGAAAGCGUGGGGAGCAAACAGG